UACGGGGGGGGCAAGCGUUGUUCGGAAUUACUGGGCGUAAAGGGCGCGUAGGCGCCUUCUAAGUCAGACGUGAAAUCCCUCGGCUCAACCGAGGAACUGACGUCUGAUACUGGAAGGCUUGAAUCCGGGAGAGGGAUGUGGAAUUCCAGGUUGUAGCGGUGAAAUGCGUAGAUAUCAGGAAGAACACCCGUGGCGAAGGCGGCUCUCUGGGACGUGACUGACGCUGAGACGCGAAAGCGUGGGGAGCAAACAGGAA
rnacentral:rRNA from 1 species